rnacentral:lncRNA from 1 species
AUUAGAUAGAGGGACACAGAGACAGAAUGAGACAGACAGAGAGAAACACAUUAGAUAGAGGGACACAGAGAUGGAAUGAGACAGACAGAGAAAAACGAGGUGUCCUUCCAAUUGUCUGCCUGUCCAUCUGUCAGUGGACCGUCCCCAGUAACUAUUAAAACUCACAGGAGCGUGCUACAGAACAGGAGCGUGAUACAGUACAGGAGCGUGCUACAGAACAGGAGCGGGCUACAGGACAGGAGCGUGCUACAGUACAGGAGCGUGCUACAGAACAGGAGCGUGCUACAGAACAGGAGCGUGCUACAGAACAGGAGCGUGCUACAGUACAAGAGCGUGCUACAGUACAAGAGCGUGCUACAGAACAGGAGCGUGCUACAGAACAGGAGCGUGCUACAGUAAAGAGUGUGCUACAGUACAAGAGCGUGCUACAGAACAGGAGCGUGCUACAGGACAGGAGCGUGCUACAGGACAGGAGCGUGCUACAGAACAGGAGCGUGCUACAGGACAGGAGCGUGCUACAGAACAGGAGCGUGCUACAGAACAGGAGCGUGCUACAGUACAGGAGCGUGCUACAGUACAGGAGCGUGCUACAGAACAGGAGCGUGCUACAGUACAGGAGCGUGCUACAGAACAGGAGCGUGCUACAGUACAGGAGCGUGCUACAGAACAGGAGCGUGCUACAGGACAGAAGCGUGCUACAGAACAGAAACGUGCUACAGGACAAGAGCGUGCUACAGUAAAGAGCGUGCUACAGAACAGGAGCGUGCUACAGAACAGGAGCGUGCUACAGGACAGGAGCGUGCUACAGGACAGGAGCGUACUACAGAACGGUAGCGUGCUACAGUACAGGAGAGUGCUACAGAACAGGAGCGUGCUACAGAACAGGAGCGUGCUUCAGAACAGGAGCGUGCUACAGUACAGGAGCGUGCUACAGAACAGGAGCGUGCUACAGUAAAGAGUGUGCUACAGUACAGGAGCGUGCUACAGUACAGGAGCGUGCUACAGUACAGGAGCGUGCUACAGAACAGGAGCGUGCUACAGAACAGGAGCGUGCUACAGUAAAGAGUGUGCUACAGUAAAGAGUGUGCUACAGUACAGGAGCGUACUACAGAACAGGAGCGUGCUACAGUACAGGAGCGUGCUACAGGACAGGAGCGUGCUACAGGACGGGAGCGUGCUACAGAACGGGAGCGUGCUACAGAACGGGAGCGUGCUACAGAACGGGAGCGUGCUACAGAACGGGAGCGUGCUACAGUACAGGCGCGUGCUACAGAACAGGAGCGUGCUACAGAACAGGCGCGUGCUACAGAACAGGAGCGUGCUACAGAACAGGAGCGUGCUACAGAACAGGCGCGUGCUACAGAACAGGAGCGUGCUACAGAACAGGAGCGUGCUACAGGACAGGAGCGUGCUACAGUACAAGAGCCUGCUACAGAACAGGAGCGUGCUACAGGACAGGAGCGUGCUACAGGACAGGAGCGUGCUACAGAACAGGAGCGUGCUACAGUAAAGAGUGUGCUACAGAACAGGAGCGUGCUACAGAACAGGAGCGUGCUACAGGACAGGAGCGUGCUACAGGACAGGAGCGUGCUACAGAACAGGAGCGUGCUACAGAACAGGAGCGUGCUACAGGACAGGAGCGUGCUACAGAACAGGAGCGUGCUACAGAACAGGAGCGUGCUACAGUACAGGAGCGUGCUACAGAACAGGAGCGUGCUACAGUACAGGAGCGUGCUACAGAACAGGAGCGUGCUACAGGACAGAAGCGUGCUACAGAACAGAAACGUGCUACAGGACAAGAGCGUGCUACAGUAAAGAGCGUGCUACAGAACAGGAGCGUGCUACAGAACAGGAGCGUGCUACAGAACAGGAGCGUGCUACAGGACAGGAGCGUACUACAGAACGGUAGCGUGCUACAGUACAGGAGCGUGCUACAGAACAGGAGCGUGCUACAGAACAGGAGCGUGCUUCAGAACAGGAGCGUGCUACAGUACAGGAGCGUGCUACAGAACAGGAGCGUGCUACAGUAAAGAGUGUGCUACAGUAAAGGAGCGUGCUACAGUACAGGAGCGUGCUACAGUACAGGAGCGUGCUACAGAACAGGAGCGUGCUACAGAACAGGAGCGUGCUACAGUAAAGAGUGUGCUACAGUAAAGAGUGUGCUACAGUACAGGAGCGUACUACAGAACAGGAGCGUGCUACAGUACAGGAGCGUGCUACAGGACAGGAGCGUGCUACAGGACAGGAGCGUGCUACAGAACAGGAGCGUGCUACAGAACAGGAGCGUGCUACAGAACAGGAGCGUGCUACAGAAUAGGAGCGUGCUACAGGGGCUCAAGGCCACUCUGGGGGCCAUGAGGGACUCUGGGACUCUCCAGUUGCAGGCCAGCAGACUGGCUGGCACCCCAAAAGAAGCUUCUUCAUCCUGAACACAGCUGUUGUCUCCGUGACGACACGAGCAGCCAAUGGGGAGCGAGGCCGAAGAUAUGGGGGCGGGGGUGGCGUACGUGUGUGUGUGUGGCGAGAGUUUGCGAGGCCGGGCACCAGCAGUGUUACUGGGUCCAGUUGGCUUGGGACAGUAAACACCAUUCCUGUACUACAGCCCGGCUAGCUGUGGAGGGAGAAAGGCAGCCUGGUGUUCAAACAAUAACACGUUAUACAUUGUGACACCUCCACCUCACAGGAACACACACUGUGUGGAGUGUAGGCCUGUUUUCACUGUUCAUCCUGCACAACCUGAUCUGAAGAUAAUGCAAAGAUACCACUUCAGCUGUUGUCUAGAUGGAAACCAUUAAUUAUUUAGACCAAUCUGCUAUACUAGAAAUAUACUAGUAUGCAAGCUUUAUACAGACACUGUAAGCAACUCAGUGCUAAUGACUUUGACAACACUUGCACAUACAGCAUUUACCCCUAACAAGGAAAAACUCAAAAAGCCACGACAGGAGGCAGAAGGUGGAAGUGAAAAGGGGUAUUCAGGCUUUUACUCUGUGUGUAAAGAGAGGUCAGAGGAAGAAAGCAGCAUGAUAUUUUUGCCCAUUGACAGUCCUGAGGACAGCUGUUAAUGACAGAUCGUUUCUGGUGAUGAAUUAAUUAUUCCAUGGAUGUCAGUUGGUCGGAGAUGGAGGCACAACCAUGGACAGGUGAUGUUAACUAAAGGUGGUGAGGAGGGCAGUUACAGAGCUCCAUAGACACUCACCUUUCACUUACAAGAGCUGUGAGGACAGCUCUGUAGGCCAUUUAUUCUUAAUAGGCUUAAACAAUUUGGACAGUUCAAAAUGGAAAUAAAUCUAAUGUCCUUGGAGGGUAUUUUAUUUUCUUGGAAUAAGGCUAAGGCCUUGAUUACUUCAGAUACAUUUAGAUUAAGCAUUUCUGAAAGACAUUUCCACAAAUGUCAAGGUCCGCACCUGUAUGAGGAGGAGGGCACGGCAUGGCUCACAUCAAUGAGCCCCAUUGUGUAGUGAGCUGGAACCCAGGACCCCUGGACCUGAUGCAGUCUGCAGAUCCUUAGACCACCCCAGCCCCCUACCACCACCCAGCCAGGCUCACCCCCAGUGCUCUGCUCCCCCAUGGUGGUGCUCUUCUUCUCUCCCUGGCUCUCAGAGCCACAUUGUUCAGGGCUGAGGAGAGCUCUGGUCUGGCCCUGAUUCCCGUGACUCCCGAGGCAGCUGGAACAGGCCUGCUGCCACUAAAACACCCAUAAAUCUUAUCAGCACCAAGAACAGGGCCCAUCUACUAAUAUACCUACCUAACUAACUAACACAACAAUAUCCUACUGUCUGUUUGCUAGGGGUAGAGACAUUUCACUUUUUCAAAGUUUUUUCUUGAAAGAGUAUUUUAUGAAAAAAAUCAAUAGUACUGAUUGAAUGCUUACUGUAUUAUGAUCAAAAUAAAAAUAAGCCUGACUGCACAUCAAUUAAGGCUAAGAUCACAUGUACACUGAGCAAAAAUAUAAAUGUAACAUAAAAUAUAAAAGAUCCCAGAAAUCUAUAUGCACAAAAAGUUUAUUUCUAUAAAAUGAUGUGCAUAAAUUUGUUUACAUUCCUGUCAGUGAGAAGUUCUCCUUUGCCAAAACAAUCCAUCCAUCCGGCAGAUGUGGCAUAUCAAGAAGCUGAUUAAACAGCAUGAACAUUACGCAGGUGUACAUUGUGCUGGGGAUAAUAAAAGGCCACUCUAAAAUGUGCAAUUUUGUCAUAAUGGUACAGACGUCUCAAGUUUUGAGGGAGCAUUCAAUUGGCAUGCUGACUGCAGGAAUGUCCACCAGAGCUGUUGCCAGAUAAUUUAAUGUUAUUUUCUCUACCAUGAGCUGCCUCCAACAUUGUUUUAAAGAAUUUGUCAGUACGUCCAACCGGCCUCACAACCGCAGACCACAUGUAACCACGCCAGCCCAGGACCUCCACAUCCAGCUUUUUCACCUGCAGGAUCGUCUGAGACCAGCCACCCGGACAACUGAUGAAACUGUGGGUUUGCAAGUUUUUCUGCACAAACUGUCAGAAACCUUCUCAGGGAAGCUCAUCUGCGUGGCCGUCGUCCUCACAAGGGUCUUGACCUGACUGCAGUUUGGUGUCGUAACCGACUUCAGUGGGCAAAUGCUCACCUUCGAUGGCCACAUCGCUGGAGAGGUGUGCUCUUCACGGAUUAAUCCCGGUUUCAACUGUACCGGGCAGAUGGCAGGCGUAUGUAUGGCGGUGUGUGGGCGAGUGGUUUUCUGAUGUCAACGUUGUGAACAGAGAGCCCCAUGGUGGCUGUGGGGUUGUGGUAUGGGCAGGCAUAAGCUACGGACAACAAACACAAUUGCGAAGGAGAUGUGUCACGCUGCAUGAGGCAAAUCGUGGUCACACCAGAUACUGACUGGUUUUCUGAUCCAUGCACCCCUAUCUAGGUAUCUAGGUGUGACCAACAGAUGCAUAUCUGUAUUCCCAGUCAUGUGAAAUCCAUAGAUUAGGGCCUGAUGAAUUUAUUUCAAUUGACUGAUUUCUUUAUAUGAACUGUCAUUUAGUAAAAUCUUUGAAAUUAUUGCAUGUUGCAUUUAUAUUUUUGUUCAGUGUAUAUCUACACUGUAGUUUAGCCAUCCCAUAAUAUUAUUGCAACAAUCUUAAUUAGUUACUCUUUCAAACAUUCACAACAGAGGCACAUCAACUACAACCCAACUGUCACAACCUUGUUUGUAAACCUUAGAACGGCUGAUCGGUGUAAUUUACAUCUGGAAGAAGAUGGUGGUGGUCAAAGUGUGGGAAACCAUCCUAAUGAUGUAAACAUAUGACGACCUCAGACUUUAACUACGUCAGGAACCACUGAGAGUAUGUUUGUGUACGUUUGUGUGUACGUGUGUGUGUACGUGUGUGUGUACGUGUGUGUACAUCACAGGAAGUUGGUGGCACCUUAACUGGGGAGAACGGGUUCAUGGUAAUGACUGGAGCGGAACAAAUGGAAUGGGCUCAAAUACAUCAAACACAUGGCUUCCAUGCCAUUCCCCUCGCUCCGUUCCGACCAUUUAUUAUGAGCCGUCCUCCUGGGGUGUGUGUGUGUGUGUGUGUGUGUGUGUGUGUGUGUGUGUGUGUGUGUGUGUGUGUGUGUGUGUGUGUGUGUGUGAGAAUGUGAGUCAGCAUGAGUGUGUUUGUCAUUGACGCAGGGUGGCAGCAACAAAGUGACUGGCCAUGUGACAUCAUAUCAGUGAGAAAGUGUGUUACAUUUGUCCCCUGCCCACCAUUACAGGGUGAGACCUACAGUAUAGCGACAGCUUGUAUCAAGCAAUUAGGAGAACAAGAUCCUUUGUUUUGGCCGGUUCUCCUCAACUUAACCACUGUACGCUGGGACAGCGGGAAAACGCUGAUCUCUGCUACAAGUGUGCGGAGAACAGAUAAUGAUCUGAUAGUGUUCUCAAGAUCCCUUACAGGCCUCUGACUUUGAAAUUGGUGGGAGGAUAAAUGCAAUAAAUUCACUGGUUGUCAUGGAUACAGAAAUGGCCAUGUUUAUUUUGAACCAAAUAGAGCAGGGUUCCCAACUGGCGGCUGGCAAGGUUCCCAAUUUUAUUUACUCACCUCCCCCCCAAGUUUUCUGAGCCCAAGAAAUAUGUAAUUUUUCAUUUUUACUGUUUCACAAUAAAGACUGUAAAAACACCAGCAAA